GAUUGACUAUAAAGAGACUUUUUCACCAACAGCGAGUAUGACGUCUGUUCGAGCUUUGAUGCAGGUGGCGGUGCAGGAAGACCUCACACUGCACCAAAUGGACGUAAAGACUGCUUAUCUCCACGCUCCGAUGGACUGUGAAGUUUAUGUGGAGCAACCAGAAGGUUUUGAGAGAACAACGAACAUGUCUUUGAGUGGGAGUGUUAAGUAUUUCACUAUAAGCAAAGUCAUGUCCAAGUGACGAGAUGACGUCAGAGAGGUGCGUGCCUGCGUGCACGAGAUUGUUAUCGUUUUUUUUCUUGUGAGCAUGCGCAAUAAACGGCCAGUGUGGUUCCCAGGCCAAAAUGGAA